rnacentral:misc_RNA from 1 species
ACACCUCAACUCUUCAUGGUUUUCCAUGAUGAGCUUGGACUUUGGGGGUCCUGCUGGCCUGUAGUCAGCUCCUCUCAAAUGAAUCAGCUUGCCAGUGUUUGGUGGGCAUCACAGGUGUGAUAACUAUCUACGCUUGUGGUUUUCCACCAAGUAACCUUCAGCAGUGGAGGUUCACUGGAGCUCACAGACGUCUCUCCUCAGUGAGGACAGCCCUUUGAAU